CUGCCCCUCUACAAACGCUCCUUGCUUCCAGGGCAGGUUCUUCCUCCCCUGGGAAGUCUUCCCUGAUUGCCCCUUGAAUCCAUCCUUCCAGCUUGGGUUUCUGGGUCAGAGCAGCCGGGUUCCCCAGCCGCCCUUGCUCCGUGCUCUCCCCCGGGGCUCAGCGUGGGAGCCGGUGGGGGUCAGAAGCCAGUCAGCGGGUCGGGUGUGAUGCUGGACUAGGACCUACCCGGCUCUCGGGGGGAUGGUCCUGGGAGUCUGCACCAGCUCCCGAGAGACGCGGCCGGUGUGGGAUGCAGCCGAGCUCUGGAACGUGUCCCCUCGUGCCCUCUUGCUACCAGCCCACCUCCAAGGAACCCAGACACCACAGGAGGGAAUCUUUGUGUCGUGGACAUGGAUGGGGACUUCGUUCACGAGGGUGAUGACCGAUGGCCCGGGCUCACUUGCUUUCGGCCCUGUGCAGGGCCCCAGCCCAGUGCAAGGUCUGGCUCGAGGGAGGCUCCCAGGAAAGCAGGAACAA
rnacentral:lncRNA from 1 species